AUACGUAGGGGGCGAGCGUUGUCCGGAAUGAUUGGGCGUAAAGGGCGCGUAGGCGGCCCGGUAAGUCUGGAGUGAAAGUCCUGUUUUUAAGAUGGGAAUUGCUUUGGAUACUGUCGGGCUUGAGUGCAGGAGAGGUAAGUGGAAUUCCCAGUGUAGCGGUGAAAUGCGUAGAGAUUGGGAGGAACACCAGUGGCGAAGGCGACUUACUGGACUGUAACUGACGCUGAGGCGCGAAAGUGUGGGGAGCAAACAGGAUUAGAUACCCUGGUAGUCCACACUGUAAACGAUGAAUGCUAGGUGUAGGGGGUAUCGACCCCUUCUGUGCCGCAGUCAACACAAUAAGCAUUCCGCCUGGGGAGUACGGCCGCAAGGUUGAAACUCAAAGGAAUUGGCGGGA
rnacentral:rRNA from 1 species